GCCCGCUUAGCUCAGUGGUAGAGCGCGUCACUCGUAUUGGACAUGAUGAGGUCGGUUGUUCAAUCCAGCCAGCGGGCA
rnacentral:tRNA from 1 species